CUCAUAGGCCGGUCCACGGAAACCCGCCCACUGCAGUAAGCUAAAUACAUAACCCACCAAAUCAAUAAAAUUUCGACAGCAUAACAUGACUAAUAUAAUAUUACCAGCCUGUCAAGGUAAAGAAAAACAGUUCAUAUAUUCAACACAAACACAAAUCCAGCCAUGUUUGCCAUCACAUUGUCAUAAGCCAUCAAUUCAAACCAUAUGUCAAAACAUAUAUAUAACACAAGUAUACAGUCUCCACUUACUCAAUUUCCAAAACCAGUAUUCAAUUUCAAAACAAGUUAUAAAUCUCAUUUCGUUUCAUCAACACUUCAAUUAUAAAACAUAAUAGUUUGCAAUUUAAAUUCAUUUUUCUUUAAAACAUAAAAAGGAGUAUAAACUACUUUAGAUAGUUAAGAUGAAAGUCUGAUUACUCACAAUAGUAGGAGUUUGGAGUACUCCUAUUCUUGGUCCUCGGGCACAAUAUCUUUACCCUUAUUAAAGGGCUCACCACCUAGAUAUAAUACACGACACGUAAUUCAAUAUAUUUGUGCCAAACUGUUCUAAAACUAUUUCAGGCUCUAUAUGAAUGCGUGACAUUGAAUGAGAAUUGUCCGAAUAAUCACUUAAGGACAGUGUUCUACAUGGGUUCAAUUAUGAUCGGACUGAAUUGGCAUUCGACCUAACUCACACUAUGCCUUGUUUAAUUAGCCAAAACAUCAUAUUCAACUCCAAAUAUCUUCAUUACACUUUCAAUAUUCCAAAUACACCAAAGUAUCUCAAUGAGCUUAAUUGUGACUUAAUUCACCGUAAUCGAAAUUCAUUCCGAUUUCGAUAUCCGAUACCAUAAAUCAUCAAUUCCUAGCUAAAUAACAUGAUUUACAACAAAAUCCAUCAUCAACAUGCCCUAUAGAAAAUUCGACCAAAUGAGGGUGGUUGAAGAACAUGCGAUUUUCUUGCUUGUUUUUCCUUCCAAACAUCACAAAAUGACUAAAAACACUAGGAUAUUAUGAAAUCUAGAAAAAUUUAUCACUAAAACUUCUCUCUCUAGAUUUGGCCAGCAAAGGUUCCCUCUUCAAAACUUGAAUUUCAGCCAUGAAGAGUGAAAAAGAAUGCAUGGAAAAGGUAGAUCACAAGCUAAAAUAAAAAAAUCUUACCUUUACUUGCUUGAUUCCUUGAAAUCCAACAAUUUCUCUUGGAUUUUUCCUUCCUAGGGUUUGUUCUUCUCUUUUUCUCUUUGUUGCC
rnacentral:lncRNA from 1 species